rnacentral:rRNA from 1 species
GAAUAUUGCACAAUGGGGGAAACCCUGAUGCAGCGACGCCGCGCGAGUGAAGAAGUAUCUCGGUAUGUAAAGCUCUGUCAGCAGGGAAGAAAUCAUGACGGUACCUGACCAAGAAGCCCCGGCUAACUACGUGCCAGCAGCCGCGGUAAUACGUAGGGGGCAAGCGUUAUCCGGAUUUACUGGGUGUAAAGGGAGCGUAGACGGCAGCGCAAGUCUGGAGUGAAAUGCCGGGGCCCAACCCCGGAACUGCUUUGGAAACUGUGCAGCUCGAGUGCAGGAGAGGUAAGCGGAAUUCCUAGUGUAACGGUGAAAUGCGUAGAUAUUAGGAGGAACACCAGUGGCGAAGGCGGCUUACUGGACUGUAACUGACGUUGAGGCUCGAAAGCGUGGGGAGCAAAC